rnacentral:rRNA from 1 species
AUUGAACGCUGGCGGCAGGCCUAACACAUGCAAGUCGAGCGAGUGGCGGACGGGUGGGAAAUGUCUGGGAAACUGCCUGAUGGAGUGGGAUAACUACUGGAAACGGUAGCUAAUACCGCAUACCAUAGGAUGUGCCCAGAUGGGAUUAGCUAGGAGGUGGGGUAAAGGCUCACCUAGGCGCCGAUACCUAGGUGGUCGGAGAGGGUGACCAGCCACGUUGGAACUGAGACACGGUCCAUGCGCCUACGGAAGGCAGCAGUGGGGAAUAGGGCACAAUGGGCGCAAGCCUGAUGCAGCCAUGCCGCGUGUAUGAAGAAGGCCUUCGGGUUGUAUAGUACUUUCAGCGGGGAGGCGUUACCCGCAGAAGAAGCACCGGCUAACUCCGUGCCAGCAGCCGCGGUAAUAC